rnacentral:rRNA from 1 species
AAUCCCAUAAAACUAUUCUCAGUUCGGAUUGUAGGCUGCAACUCGCCUACAUGAAGCCGGAAUCGCUAGUAAUCGUGGAUCAGCAUGCCACGGUGAAUACGUUCCCGGGCCUUGUACACACCGCCCGUCACACCACGAGAGUUUGUAACACCCGAAGUCGGUAGGGUAACCUUUAUGGAGCCAGCCGCCGAAGGUGGGACAGAUAAUUGGGGUGAAGUCGUAACAAGGUAGCCGUAUCGGAAGGUGCGGCUGGAUCACCUCCUUUCUAAGGAA